CCGAGUACUUAACUCAUAACCCUUUGUGAACCUUCAUAACCUGUUGCUUCGGCGGCGCGUGCCCCCCGGGGCCGCGCCCGCCGGUAACCAUCAGAAUCUCUGUUUGAACCCGACGAUACAUCUGAGUGUUCUAAGCGAACUGUUA
rnacentral:misc_RNA from 1 species